UCUGAUCAGGUGCAGAGCUUAGUCGACUGCUGAACAGGGAGUCUUAAUAUUUUGUUCACAGUGGCUAAGUUCUUCACUUGUA
rnacentral:pre_miRNA from 1 species